ACCAUGAUUAUGUGUAUCACCAAGGGUAAAUGUAUCUCCAAGGGUCUAUGUAUCACCAAGAUUAUGUGUAUCACCGAGAUUAUGUGUAUCACCAAGGGUAUGUGUAUCAUAAAGGGUCUGUGUUCUACCAGGGGUCUAUGUAUCACCAAGUGUCUAUGUAUCACCAGUGGUCUAUGUGUCGUCAAGGGUCUUUUUAUCACCAAGGGUAUGUGUAUUACCUAGGGUCUGUGUAUCACGAAGUGUCGGUGUAUCAACUAGGGUCUAUGUAUCACCAAGGGUAUGUGUAUCACCUAGGGUCUGUCUAUCACCAGUGGUCUUUGUAUCACCAAAGGUCUGUGUAUCACCUAGGGCUUGUGUAUCACCAGUGGUCUAUGUAUCACCAAGGGUUUAUAUAUCACCUGGAGUCUGUAUCAACAAGGAUAAGUUUACUUAGGGUAUGUAUGUCACCAAGGGUCUAUAUUACCAAGGAUAUGUAUAUCACCAAGGGUUUGUGUAUUAUUGAGGGUCUGUGUAUCACCAAGGGUAUAUAUUGUAUCACCUAGGGUCUAUGUAUCACCUAGGAUCUGUGUAUCACCGGUGGUCUAUGUAUCAUCAAAGGUCUUUGUAUCACCUAGGGUCUUUAUCAACAAGGAUCUGUAUCACUAAGGGUAUAUAUGUAUGUCACCAAGGGUCUGUAUUACCAAGGAUAUGUGUAUCACCAAGGGUUUGUGUAUCAUCGAGGGUCUGUGCACCUUUGUCCAUCAGCAGGGUUUGAAUACCUAUCAUAAGAGUGUGCAUGUUUAUUACAUAUGUCUGAAUAGCCAUAUCAAGGAAAUUUUUAUUCUUGCAGGGUUUUAUUGCAUAAUUUUGUAGGCCUAUAUGGUGUCUAACAUAAUUUGAAUUAUUAAAAUGAAAUCCAAUAUUAAGAAGGUCUAUGGAUGUGUUUAGUAAAGUUAACCUCUUGUAGAGAAGGCAUGAUCGAAUUGUAUAAAGAAAUACAUGUAUAUUGAUUUUCUUAUGAUUAAAAUUUCUUGAUUCUAAUAUUGAU